ACUGUACUCCCAAUGUCUACGUCAGCAUUGUACCUUUCAGUACCCAAGAAGCUGAGGCAGGAAAAUCUCUUGAGCCAUUGAGUUUGAAACCAACCUGGACAAAUAGCAGAUUGACCUGCAACUCAGAGACCCACUUGCCUCUACCUCCCAAGUGCUGGGAUUAAAGGAAAAGAACCCAAGAGUCUGUGUGUCUCUCUGGGUUCAUUCAUUGUUCUUCUCUUCCUGGCACUCAAAGUUUUAGCUUUUGCUACACUAGCAGAAGAAAACAUUCAAUGGCUGCUGACAGUUUCAGAGGGU